CACAGCCUUUAAAGCCUGUGUGUGGUCUCCCACUUGCUUGUCACGUCCUUGAGCCGGGUUGUGACAUAUGAGAGAUCAAAAAUGUUGGAAAAAAUAAUAAUUUCAGAUUAAAUUUUGAUCUUAAAGUUCCAGAAACAGGCGAAUGUUAUCAUUUGUAUAUUACUGUAUAUUUAACCUUUCAAUGUCACAGUAUUGUCCGAUGCAGCUACUGAGAGACGUUACUUUGCAGACGCUCACAUGGAUCCUGCUGCUGUCUGCAGGUGUUUAACAAGCAAACAUCUGCUAAACUCUAUGUGUCUAUGUAAUCUGCUAAAUGAAUUACUAAUGAGUUUCAUUAGCCUGCUGUCUGAGCUGCAGUCGGGUUUAACUUCAUUAACACUUGAACCUGUAACAGAAGUGGAAACAGUGAAAUAGAGGUAGAUGACAGGAGUUUGGUGGUUUUGCAGGGGGAAGUGUGUCUUCUUUCUUUCCCUGUGUGAUGUUUAUCAGUGCUGGUGCUGAAAUAUGGAAGCUGAUGUUUAGAGUAUUUCCUGUGUGAGGGCGUUCAGGCUUUGUCCCAUUUGCAUGGGCAGUGUAACAGCCCUGGACUGUGGGGGUGUGGUCUGAAUAUAAGCCUGGUGAUCAGAGAUCACUCACACUCCUGACAGGAAGCAUCAGCCUCCACCUGAUCAUGCAGACACAAAGAAACAGGAGAGGAUAUAUACAACACUUCAUAAACUGUAAGCAUCUGUGGCUGAAUGAGCUGAAGAAGCUCGCUCAUGACUUGAAGAACCCGUAUCUCCUAAAAGAAAACGUCCCUGACUACCCCCGACCCGAGUUUCACGUGUCUCACCUGAAACACGACACAGAGCGAGGGGCUUUAUGUUGGAUCAGGACAGACGGCGGCUUCAAGGAUCCUCACAGAGGCUUCAGGGAUCCACACAAAUGGUCCCUGGUGUGGUGGAGUCUGGCUGUGGGGCCCGAGGAGAUCCAGGCGGCCGAGACGAGGCUCCUGGAGAAGACCUACCCAAACCGGACGAAGGAGCAGGCUGUGAAGCAGCAGAGCUUCCUGUGGAGAUUUGCCACCUCUCCGGCCUUCAGUGAGAAGUCCAGGUAUGGAUCGUACCGCUUCACCUUCCCCCUGCAGGACGUGCUGAGCGCCUACAGCCAGCAGUUUUGCUUUGGAGCUCCGCCCAUCAUGAGAGUGUUCAGGACCUGCCUGUUCAAAAAGAAAGUGCAGUACUCUGUGUUGGUCCACAGCCCAGCCAAUCGCGAGCUCUUCUCAGAGUUUCCAUUACUUCCUGGUAAUGACCCGAACGCUGUCUGCGCGUACAGAGACGGACGCUUCAUCUGGAGGUCGGAGGCCAUGUGUGAGACACACAGGUACGAGCUGAUCCACAGACCUGAUGCAAGUCAGAUGGACUCUCUGGAGCUGUUUGGACAGCCUGAGUUUUAUCUUUGGGAUAAUGUUGCCAUCGCCCUGCAUGUGGAGAACGGACAGGUACUGAAGUUUGAUUCUGACCAACUGAGAGAGAACCUGAAAUUCUGUGAACCAGACAGACCCACAGUCACACCCAACUUCUAUUUUGAUCAUUUUGAAAACGCUAAAAUCUUGGUUAACCAAUUGUGGCCCGACUCAGACUCCCUGCUGGAGGAGGAGCCUUCACUCAAGCUCAGUUUCAAAGCGCUCUUUCUUUCCGUGAGAAAACCAAAGAGGAUUAAAGACUUUACUGAAGUUUGAAGCCUGCCUGCAGUGAGACGACGCCUCCAGUUUAAACUCUGUUUGUUUGCUGUUCCGUAUUUUAGACCAACCAAGUGUAUUGUUUGACAGCGGUGUGGUCACAGCUUUAGAUAACGCAUAUUUAUGGGUUUUGAACGUAUGAAUUCAUACAUUGUUGUGUUGUUUUAACCUCUGGUGAGAUAAGAGUGGGUGGAGCAUCACAGCGCUGCUUCUUUAACCUACAGCAGAGGUCGGUGUUGUUGGUGUGAUGGGUGGAUGGAUGUGACGUGUUCAUGUACCCAAAGUUUAAUAUGAGACAUUUCUGUAUUUUGGCAAAGUGAAAGCUGUUUUUAUUUUGUAUCUGAAACACAAAGAUGACUUUAUUCAUUUAUUCAUGCUUUGAUCCAAACAGAAGAAUAAUAUAUCGAGUGCAGAGAGAGUGUGAGCGUGCAGCGUUUAAAGCGUGGAAGUAAUCACAUUACUUUGAGUUUGAUUCCAUAAAAAGUGACAAAA